UUCCCUGAGACUUAGAGUCUCCUGAAGGAACGUUGAAGACGACGACGUUGAUAGGCCGGGUGUGUAAGCGCAGCGAUGCGUUGAGCUAACCGGUACUAAUGAACCGUGAGGCUUAACCUU
rnacentral:rRNA from 1 species